rnacentral:tRNA from 1 species
GUGCGCGUAGUUUAACUAAAAUGCUAGGUCGUGACCCUAGAGUUAUGGGUCACCCAUCGCGCACC